rnacentral:rRNA from 1 species
UACGAAGGGGCUAGCGUUGCUCGGAAUUACUGGGCGUAAAGCGCACGUAGGCGGCUUCUUAAGUCGGUGGUGAAAUCCUGGAGCUCAACUCCAGAACUGCCUUCGAUACUGAGAAGCUCGAGUCCGGGAGAGGUGAGUGGAACUGCGAGUGUAGAGGUGAAAUUCGUAGAUAUUGCAAGAACACCAGUGGCGAAGGCGGCUCACUGGCCCGGUACUGACGCUGAGGUGCGGAA